AAAAAAAAAGGGAUUGCUGACCUCAGGGAGCAGAGAAGCAGCCAGGCAUCAACUGAUGUGGCAGGUGGACUUUGACAGCUGCCUCGGGGGAAAUGUCUUGAGCUGAGCCCAAAGUGAGAAAGAAGCUGGUGGUCUCAUUUUAAACAGGAAACGGGAACAAAUCUGACACUGAGUAAAAAUAAAGGAAAACAGCCUACAACCAAAUCCAAAUGGAGCCUUGGGUUCCACCACCAAAACAACCCUGGCUACGUGGGAGCCACCCAGCCUGGACUGAGGGCUAUAGGAGGAGCCCAUGGCCUGCUCCUCCUUAUUCCAGGCACAACACUGAAUGGACGUAUCACCAUGAACCCUGGGCAGGACCCCAGCCAGAUGCUCAGACACAACACCACCCAUCCACAUAUCAUCCAGCAUUUAUGAGACCAAAUUCUUGGGCACCCUACUAUGAAAGCAGCUAUGCCAGCUGGUCACAUUCAAGGCAAGGUUACGAGAAUCUGAAUCACGGCAUGGUGGGAGAUUAUGCAUACAGAAGUGGCCAAAGAUACUCCCCAACACAGUAUGGUGAAAGAGGUAUUUUGCGGGGUAGGUGUGGAAUCCCGCUUUAUGAUAAAC
rnacentral:lncRNA from 11 species